rnacentral:lncRNA from 1 species
GUCAGUUAUUUGUUCAUUCUGCUCGUAGUCAACGGCCAAUGAAUUAACAAUAGUUAUUGUAAUAUUUGAAAGGGCAAACAAUUCCUUGUUCUAACAGCUAUUACGUGUAUUGCAUUGCAGUUUGAAUUAUAAAUACUUCUCUAAUAAAAGUUGAACUUGCUACUUACGAACUGAAAAAAAACCAUGUCUGUGAAUGUCUUUAAGCUAUUUCUAUGAACUUUACAAAAUGUGGUGUUUUGAUGAAGCAGUCAUUGAUGUUGCUUUGAAGGCUUAAACAGCAACAUACAUGUAAGUGUAAAGAAGAGAAAAUAUAUAUUGAGCCAUAUGCUACAGACAUCAGGUUGGUGUUCUUAUGUAAGCUUGACAAGACUGGUUUUAUGCUUCAAAUAUGGUGUCAGUUUUUGGUUUUUGUUGGUCUUCGUGGUCAUCGGCCAAUGCGUAAAUGAUAGUUAUUGUAAUAUUUGAAAGGGAAAACAAUUUCUUGUUCUAACAGCUAUAACGUGUAUUGCAUUGUAGUUUUAAUUAUAAAUACUUCUCUAAUCAAACUUGAACUUGCUACUUACAAACUGAAAAAAAGAAAUAUUACAUUAGUUUUUUGUCAGCAUCAUUGAAUAUUUCAUAAUUUUUAUGUACUGCCAUGUAAUGAAUUUCAAAAUGGGUACAAUGUAUUAAAUUUUUGACAUUGAGUUAUAUACCAAUGUUUAUCAGACUGGUAUAUUCUACUAAAAAAGUUGUUUAUUUUUGUUAUACAGAUUUCGAUAUGUCUUCAAUGAACUUCAAGCAAAUCAUAUACGCAAAGAAAGAAAUGUGAUGUUAUGAUGUAAGCUUGACAAGACUGGUUUUAUGAUUCAAAUAUGGUAUCAGUUAUUUGUUAAUUGUCCUCGUGGUCAUCGGCCAAUGAGUAAAUAAUAGUUAUUGUAAUAUUUGAAAGGGAAAACAAUUUCUUGUUCUAACAGCUAUUACGUGUAUUGCAUUGCAGUUUGAAUUAUAAAUACUUCUCUAAUCAAACUUGAACUUGCUACUUACUCACUGAAAAGAAAGGAAUGUUACAUUACUUUUUUUCAGCAUCAUUGAUUAUUUUAUAAUUUGUAUGUCUUGCCAUGUAAUUAAUUUCAAAAUGGAUAUUUAUUUAUUUUUCCAUGAAAGC